UACAGAGGGUGCGAGCGUUAAUCGGAAUUACUGGGCGUAAAGCGUGCGUAGACGGCUAUCUAAGUCGGGUGUGAAAGCCCCGGGCUCAACCUGGGAAUUGCAUUCGAGACUGUGUAGCUAGGGUACGGAAGAGGGAAGCGGAAUUUCAGGUGUAGCGGUGAAAAUGCGUAGAUAUCUGAAGGAACACCAGUGGCGAAAGCGGCUUCCUGGUCCAGUACCGACGGUUCAGGCACGAAAGCGUGGGGAGCAA
rnacentral:rRNA from 1 species